GUAGGUGAACCUGCGGAAGGAUCAUUACAGAGUUCAUGCCCUUACGGGUAGAUCUCCCCACCCUUGAAUAUUAUACCUUUGUUGCUUUGGCGGGCCGCUUCGGCUACCGGCUCCAGCUGGUAAGUGCCCGCCAGAGGACCUAAACUCUUGAAUUAUAGUGUCGUCUGAGUACUAUAUAAUAGUUAAAACUUUCAACAACGGAUCUCUUGGUUCUG
rnacentral:misc_RNA from 1 species